rnacentral:rRNA from 1 species
CUACGGGGGGCUCCAGUGGGGAAUAUUGGACAAUGGGGGAAACCCUGAUCCAGCAAUGCCGCGUGUGUGAAGAAGGCCUGCGGGUUGUAAAGCACUUUCGGUUGGGAGGACUGCUUCUAGCACUAAUAUUGUUGGAAGUUGACGUUACCUUCAGAAGAAGCACCAGCUAACUCCGUGCCAGCAGCCGCGGUAAUACGGAGGGUGCAAGCGUUAAUCGGAAUUACUGGGCGUAAAGCGCGCGUAGGCGGCUAGAUCAGUCGGGUGUGAAAGCCCCGGGCUUAACCUGGGAACUGCAUCCGAUACUGUCUAGCUUGAGUACAGGAGAGGAGAGUGGAAUUCCACAUGUAGCGGUGAAAUGCGUAGAUAUGUGGAGGAACACCAAUGGCGAAGGCAGCUCUCUGGCCUGAUACUGACGCUGAGGUGCGAAAGCGUGGGGAGCAAACGGGAUUAGAUACCCUUGUAGUC